AAACAAAUAGGGCUCAACUUAUCCUUUCGCACUUGACUUUUCAAACCAAGCUAAGCUAAUAAGCAAGCAAGGCAAAGCAAACAAAGCAAGAGAGCUGAUCGUAGACCACUCUCUCCCGGUGGUCGAGCUGAUCGUAGAGCACCC